rnacentral:rRNA from 1 species
GUAAGCGCAAGUCGUCAGCUUGCGUUGAUUACGUCCCUGCCCUUUGUACACACCGCCCGUCGCUACUACCGAUCGAAUGGCUCAGUGAGGCGUCCGGACUGGCCCAGGGAGGUGGGCAACUACCCCCCCGGGCCGGGAAGCUCUCCAAACUCGGUCAUUUAGAGGAAGUAAAAGUCGUAACAAGGUCUCCGUUGGUGAACCAGCGGAGGGAUCAUUA